rnacentral:rRNA from 1 species
AAUGAACGCUGGCGGCAUGCCUAACACAUGCAAGUCGAACGAACGCACCGGCAGCUUUCUCCCCUGAGGUUGGCGCGGGACGGACGAGUAACACUUGGAUAGCAUACCUAUUAGACUGGGAUGAUAUCGGCGGACCAGUGCUAAUACCGGAAAAUAUAUUGAACGGCAUGGAUCAAUAGUGAAAGACGGUUUUGCUUGCGCUUAUAGCCGGAGCCGCGUCGGAUUAGCUACUGGGUAAAGGAACGGCUUACCAACACAACGAUGCGAAGCCGACCUGAGAGGGUGAUCGGCCACACGGGAACUGAGACACGGUCCCGACUCCUACGGGAGGCAGCAGUAGGGAAUCUUCCGCAAUGGGCGAAAGCGUGAUGGAGCAACACCGCGUGAGUGAUGAAGGUCUUCGGAUCGUAAAGCUCUGUUGUUAGGGAAGAAGAAAUGCGUAUGUAACCAUGCACGUAUUGACGGUACCUAAAGAAAAAGCCCCGGCUAACUACGUG